AGUGUAGCAAUAUGCUCAAAAGUGGCGAACGGGUGAGUAACACGUAGGUAACCUGCCGCGCAGAGGGGGAUAACGACUGGAAACGGUCGCUAAUACCGCAUGGUACCAUGAAAGGGGGACUUUUCAUGGUUAAAACCUUGGUGCUGCGCGAGGGGCCUGCGUCCGAUUAGUUAGUUGGUGAGGUAAUGGCUCACCAAGACGAUGAUCGGUAGCUGGUCUGAGAGGAUGAUCAGUCACACGGGAACUGAGACACGGUCCCGACUCCUACGGGGGGCAGCAGUGAGGAAUAUUGCACAAUGGACGCAAGUCUGAUGCAGCAACGCCGCGUGGAGGAUGAAGGUCUUUGGA
rnacentral:rRNA from 1 species